rnacentral:lncRNA from 1 species
CUGGCUCCAGUUCCAGCUUUGACCAUCAGCAAAUGUCUAGCAUUCGAGACAGCACCCUUUACCUGCACUGAUGAAUGUAAAGCUAAGUUUUCAAAUCCUUUUGUUACCAAACAAUACUUUUCUUGCUUGUAGCAUUCUGAAGUUUUCCUUGGUUUGAUAUGUUCACAUAUCACUAGUUGUUACCAGAUAUUUUAAUUAUAUCAGGAGUGUGGAUUUUGAGGGCUUUAUGGGACUGGAGAAGAUGCUCAGGCCUAUGAACUCAAAUUCAAAGUUUGCUUUGAUAAUUAUAGGAAACUAUCUUCAUUGCUCUGCUUGGAGCUAUAGUUGCUAACAUUAGUUCCCCAUCUAGAGACGAGAUAGUUCACUAGUGUUUCAUGUAAUCGCAGAUCAAAUGAGGACAGCGGUGGUUGUGAUGGCACUCAAUGUAAUUUAUGCUCUUAAUAGUUCGUCUGUGAAAUUUUUUUCUUUCAGAAGUACUCACUGCCAUACCUUUUUCUUUCUUUUCUCUUCUUUUCUUUUCUUUUUCUUUUUUUUUUUAACAUGAUCCAAUUCCCAGGUUGGAAAAUUUCUAUACAUCAUAUCCACAUAUGUAAACUCAAAACAUAUUAGCUACUGUAAGUCAAAGCAAGACAACUUGAAUUUGCUUAGAAAAAGAAAUCUGUUUUGCCUGCUUUAAAAAAUUGCAUUAUGUUCCUUCUUUUUUUUCCCAUUGAAUUUGCUGGUUUAUUAUUACUUAUGUACUGUGUCUGAUGUGUGUCUGAGUGUGGGCAUGUACAUGCCGGGGCACAUGUGUAGAUGUCAGAGGGCGACUCUUGGGCUUAGUUCUCUCUCUCCAUCUGGUUAAGGCAGGCUGUCUGUUGUUUCUGCCGUGUUGCACACUCCAGGCUAGCUGGACAAUGAGCCUCUGGGUGAUUUCCUGCCUAUGCCUUGUAUCUCCAUAGGAAUGCUAUAAUUAGACACAUACUAACAUGUCCAGCUUUUUAACAUGGGCUUGAAUUCAGGUCAUCAGGCUGUGUGGCUAGUACUUUAACCCCAGUGAGUCAUCUACUCAGCCCUCUUUGCAUUAUCUCUGAAAGGUAAGUUGGAUAACACGCCAUACUUUAAAUCACAAGUAUAUUUUACAUAAGAGGUGGGGGCAAACAUGACGGUUCCUCCUUUUAUUGGUGAAAACCUAAACCAAAUCAUAUAGGGUGAGUUGCAAAAAGGCAGUAACAUGGCUGAGCCUCAAGAACUAUGAAUUUAGAAACGAAACUACUAAAGAGCUUGUCUACAACCUUGUCCUCUUUUACAUGUUGGCUUUAUUUCUUUUUCACUGAUAACUGGUUCCUUCUAUGCAGCAAAUAACAGAGCUGUUUCGUUAGUCCAUUGGUUAGGGUUCUCAUUGUCGUGACCCAGUAAGAGCAACUCAACCUAAGGGAGGAAGGUUAUAAGGAAUACCAUCCUCCCAGGCAGCCAAACCAGGAGCCAGAGGCAGCUAGUCACAUUGGGUCUGCUGUCAGGGAGUGGGGCUGGGAUGUAAAACCUCAAGGCCGAACCCCCCCCCCCUCACCCAGUGACUCACUUCUUCCACUGAGGCUCCACCUCUUAAAGGUCCCACCAUUUUUUAUAGUAGCACCACUAUGUGAGGUCAAGCCCCGACUCAUAUCAACAUAGGAGGUGACACUUCACAUGUUCAAACCAUCACUGCUACCAUCACAAGUUCUUCAGGUUUCUAUCUGAUGAGUUCCGGCACUAAACCACACCGAAACUCCCAGGGAAGUUUCUCACUUGUUUGGUUUGGGUGAGGUUCCCAUUGCUAGGUCUUUGUCAUCCUACUUGAUGGGCACAGAUAAUCAUGUAAGAAGGGUAAGGAACAGAACUGAAUCAGACUGGUCCUAGGAGGUACAUAACUUUAAGUGUGGUGGUGAACUCAGAAGCAGUGAGCUCAAUCAUGGAGGGAGUGUCAUUGGCCAUCUACCAUUGUUUCCUUGAGUUAACAGAUGACCAGCACACAGAUGACCAGCACACGGUUUGGUAGUGUUAAGUCUAAGUGACUGGCUUCCUUGGUUUGGUUGUGCUAAAAUCUUUACCAGCUUCCAGUCCUACAUUUCCUAUUUCUCACAGCUGGAACCAUUCAAUUCCACUCAAUUUGCACUCAUAGGCUCAGCCCUGCAUUAAUCCCAGGACAAAUUACACAAAGGCCGAUUCGGGAAAAAUAAGGUUGUUUAUAGUUCACUUUUUCACUACUCAGAUAAGGACAGCAUUUUAUCAAUUGGCUAGAGUGGAGAGGACAUUUGCUUGGAGCAGAAUCCACCAAGGUCCAUUCCAAACCCUUCUGUAGCAUAUCUUGGGGUUCAAUAUUUAAAGCAAGUUUUCCCCCCGAAACCUGGACAGUAGCAUGAACUUUGGAUGCUGAUGGCCAAGGGGGUAACAGGGGCUUGGGAUGCUGUUUAUCAUUCUCUGGGGACAUUGUCACAGUGAUGUUGUUGUCUGGUACUCAGUGGUUGGCCUUAGAUAGGCUUCUGUGUGGUUAUGUUUCCCUGAUGACAUUGUUUCUGUGUGGAUAUCAAACCUGUUCCUGGCUCUUUUAGAAAUUCUGUAAACUUGGCUGUAAUGAUAAAUCCAUUUCUGUUGACACUGUUUUGAAAUAAUUUUACUACCUGCAGUGCAUAUCCCGAAGCAUUGCCAUGCCAUGAAGAGCACAGAUCACUGCCAUCAAAUGGAGAAAACCCACCCAAUGUCUUCUGAUGCUUUCUAUCCCUGAUACCCAAUUAGAGCUCCUAUAAGACGCUCACCAACACUGACUCACCAGACACAGACAAACGUGCCUAACUCCCCAUCAUUUGUGAACAUGUGGAAAAAUAGAUAUGCUGUCUCCAACCAGCACAUAGUUC